CAAGGCACGUAGAGGAUAAGUAUGUAAGUAAGUAAGUAUAAAAAAAUUGUCUUCUGGAUUGAUCUUUAAAAUUACAAGGCUAUGGAGUUGAACAUUGGUAGCAGUCGUAAAUCAAAAAAUUGUUUCGGCUGCUGUACGACGGUUAUAAAAUCUAGAAAAAUUGACAUCCUUGAGUUCUGGCUUCUGUUCUUUAAAUGGAACUGUUAGAACCAGUUGUUAAUAAAAUGUAUAAAAAAAAGAUUUAAGAAUGAAUUUUAUUUUGUUGUGAAACAUGAAGGCUGUCUUUCAAAUAUUAAAAUGUUUUACAAUUGAAAAUCAAAUAUUUAGGAAAUUUUACGUUUCUUAACAACAACACUGUUUCAAGCCAUUUUAUUUAUUUUCUCAUAUUUUUACUAUUUUACAUUUUUCUCAAUAUUAUAAUCUUUAUAAAAGUAUUUUCAUACAUAUCUUGAAUUAUUAAAGGAGAUUUUUGGAAAGACCUUUAUACUAAUACUUUUGAGUGCCUGCAAAACUUACAAAAUUAUUUUAUUAAUUUAUUACAAAAUUAUUGCACGAAAAAAAAUGUUUUAAAUUUAUGGAAAUGUAGCAAUAAAACGGGCCAAUUAUUUAGUGCACAUAUCAAUAUACCUCUAUGCAUGCUGAUUCAAGAGGCCAUUGACUUUUUGUCGGUAAUAAAUUUUGUUUGAUAGCUAUCCAUUAUAAUUGUUUGAUUACAUUAAAGUUAUUGCAAUUAUGUAAUGAUUUUACCGUUUUUAAUAGGUACGAAAUGGACAUAUUAAAAGGAUUACUGAUAAUGAUAUCCAAUCAUUGGUAUUAGAAAUUGUUGGCAACAAUGUUAGUACAGCUUUUAUAACCUGCCCAGCUGAUCCUCGUAAAACAUUAGGAAUCAAGCUACCUUUUUUGGUACUUAUUGUCAAGAAUUU